rnacentral:lncRNA from 1 species
UCAAAUUUUAAGUCCUGUUUGUGUUUCCUUGGUGAAGGAACAUAUGUAAAUUGAAACCAAGUUAUUUGAACAUCCUUUGAAGUGAAAGCGAUAAGACUUUAAUGAAACCACUAAGCAUCUGUACUGUUCACUGGUAAUAAAACCAUCACACAUAUAUACUGUUAAAAAAACAAAUAAAAAACAAUUUCAUGUUUCUUCUCAUAUAAAGUGUCACGAUUGAAACUGCGUCUGAGAAAUUACAAUUAGCUAAGCUUGAGGCUUAUAGAGAGCAAAAAGAGGGAGAAAGAGAGGAAAGAGAAAAAAGAGAGAUAGAAAGAGAGAGAGAGAGCAGGAAAAAGAAAGAGAGCAAAGAACGCAGAGAGACAGAGAAAUGGCUCAUGAGGAGAAAAUGUUGGCGAUGAGGAUGAGAGAAACUGAGGUUGGUGGGACCCAAUCCCUCUAUCCCAAACCAAAUUUACCACACAGGACAUAAAAUGGUUCCCAAAGUACCAAAGGGGAGAGAAUGUAGAACCAUUUCUCACCAUUUUGAAAGAACUUGGAGGUACCUGAGGCGAGGAGAGUGGCACACUUAAGACCAUUGCUUUGUGGUGAAUUAAAUGAGAUAUAUGCCAACCUGAGAGAUGAGGAGAUCUCUGGUUAUAAUUUGUUUAAGGAAAGAGUGAAACUGAGGUUUGGGCUAACAACUGGGCAAAGCCGAAGAGAAAUAAAACCAAAACCAGAUGAAACAUAUUCACAAUUGUGUUGUAGGUUGGAUAAAGCAUUGGACAGGUAGACUGAGGGAAGUAAAGUGAUUACUUUCAGGAACUGAAGCAUCGUGUUAGUUUGGAACAAUUUUACAAAUUGGUACCACCGCAAAUGAGAUGGUUCAUCAAACAUAAAAGAAUCAAAACCGUUGCUGCAAUGGCCACCUUACUAGACAAACUAGAAUGCAAUUUGAAGGGUGGAUACUGCCCAAGUCCCUCUAAGAAGCCGAGAGACUUGGGCAGUAUUCACCCUCCAAAUUGCAUUCUAGUUUUUCUAGUAACGGGGCCACUGCAGCAACGGUUUUGAUUCUUUUAUUUUUGAUGAACUACCUCAUUUGCGGUGGUACCAAUUUGUAAAGUUGUUCCAAACCAACACGAUGCUUCAGUUCCUGAAAGAAGUCGCUUUACUUCCUUCAAUUCACCUGUCCAGCACUUCAUUUACCCUACAACACAAUUGUGAAUAUGUUUCACCUGGUUUUCUCUGGUUAUUUCUCUUCGGCUUUGCCCUGCUGUUAGCCCAAACCUCAGUUUCACUCUUUACUUAAACAAGUUAUAAUCAGAGAUCUCCUCAUCUCUCAGGUCGGCAUAUAUCUC